UCCCUAGUACGGCGAGUGAAGCGGGAAGAGCUCAAAUUUGAAAUCUGGUGGCCUCAGGUCAUCCGAGUUGUAAUCUAUAGAAGUGUUUUCCGUGCUGGCUCAUGUACAAGUCCCUUGGAACAGGGCGUCAUAGAGGGUGAGAAUCCCGUCCUUGACAUGAACUACCAGUGCUCUGUGAUACAUUUUCAACGAGUCGAGUUGUUUGGGAAUGCAGCUCAAAAUGGGUGGUAAAUUCCAUCUAAAGCUAAAUAUUGGCGAGAGACCGAUAGCGAACAAGUACCGUGAGGGAAAGAUGAAAAGCACUUUGGAAAGAGAGUUAAACAGUAUGUGAAAUUGUUGAAAGGGAAACGAUUGAAGUCAGUCGUGCUCUUUGGAUUCAGCCGGUUCUGCCGGUGUACUUCCUUUGAGUGGGGUCAACAUCAGUUUUGAUCGCUGGAUAAAGGCUGGAGGAACGUAGUACCCUCGGGUAAACUUAUAGCCUCCUGUCACAUACAGUGGUUGGGACUGAGGAACGCAGCACGCCUUUAUGGCCGGGAUUCGUCCACGUACGUGCUUAGGAUGUUGACAUAAUGGCUUUAAACGACCCGUCUUGAAACACGGACCA
rnacentral:rRNA from 1 species